rnacentral:tRNA from 1 species
GGGGCUGUAGUCUAGUGGUAGGAUGCAAGGUUCGGGACCUUGUGGCCCGUGUUCGAAUCACGGCAGUCCCA